rnacentral:tRNA from 1 species
GUUCAACUCCCUUCCCUAAU